CACAGUGGAAAAUCGGGCAGUGAAGGAGUGGACGGCUGGGAAAGAAAAAACUAAGGAAAAAGGGUGGAAAAGAGAGAGAAAAGAAGGAAAAAGAAAAGGAAAGGGAAGAAGAAUGAAGAAAUCUUAUGCCAACUACUUCAAGUUUGUUUCUUUAGUUCUUCAAAAGAUUGAAGGAAGGAGCAUGAUUCCAAGCCAAUCUUUUUAUUUGUGAAAGAUUUUUUGUGCCAACGUGGUAACAAGGAGGUGAAAAUGUUUAUCAGGAAACCACUGAAUUUGAGAUAUCUGGGAAAGCCUGCUGAAGUCAAGAGCCUAGUUACCCGUCAUUUAGUGCAUGAUCUUAACCGUGUCAUAGUAUGUAGUGUAUGGUGGGGGACUCAUGUUUAUUGAGCACUUUGCCUAAUAUUUUGUUUGAUUUAUACUUCGUAGAAAGGUUUAUAAUUCAUAUAAUGCUUACAUGUAGACAUGAUAUUUUGUAGUAGAAGUACUCAGUCGAGUUUAAUUGUAUUUUAUUUUAGUUGUGGCGGUAUUGGUAGAACUGGUGGUUCCCAAAUUUUUUGAUUUAAUUGUUUAUAUGAGGUUUUGUUGAUUUUCA